rnacentral:miRNA from 1 species
GUGAGCAAAGUCUCGAGUGCGU